CGACCAGGGAUCGUGCUGUUUACAAGUGGCCAAGGAUAUGAAGUCAAUGAAGUGAAUAUGAAGAGGAACACAGAGCUGGAGACUGAGAAUCUACAGCUGAACUGGUCACCCAUUGCGAUGGGGGCUAAAGACACAGCAAUCCUGCCAAGUCCUCCCCCACACAGCAGCUGGCAGGAUGGGCUUGCCAAUAGGUCCCUGGGACACAUCUUUCUGCAAGGAGUGCAGAGGGAGGGCUCUGAGAAUAACACAGACAGCCACAAGCUUUGCCCAAAGAAACAUCACAUUGAAACAGCUCCGGCCACAGAAAGCUCCUUCCUCAAGAUGGUGAGUACAUUUAUGGAGUAUGCUGAAGUUCAUGCUCUGGAAGGCGAAUUUGAUUCAUGUUACGCCACAAACUGAAAUAAGUAAGUAAAAUAGAGAAUAGCAGUGGGCUCUGAGUCUAAGCCUCGCUCCUAACAGUGAAGCCGGCAACCUCAACUUCAGCUUCACCUGGGAUUCUGCAGCACUGCACUCUUGGGAUCGACCCCAAACUUACUGAAUCAGAAUCUGCAUUUUUAUCAAGACCUUCAUUCAGAAAGCCUUGCUGAUCAUCUGUAACCCAGGUAGGGGAGGCUACAGGUCACUUCUGGCACACAUUUCAGCCCCUAGAAUAUGGCUCUAUGAGGCAAUGAUUUUAUCUUUAUCUCCACCCUAGUAAGCCCUCAAUAGAUAUGUCUGGAGUGAAUAAACGGGUAUUCCUGAGACUCUUGUCCUCCAUGGUCUGUAUGCCCUGGACUGCCCACUUCUGGCUUCGAGAACUAUGUUUCUGUUUCUUAAACUUUGCUUACUAGUUGCCAGCUUCUUCUAAGUCUAGCCUCUAAGUGCUAAUGUUUUUAGGCUAACCUCAAGAUUAGCAGCAUUUUAUAGCCUGGAUAUGAAAUUGGGGGCAAACCUCUGCUUUUGCCUUUGCCCUGUGCAUUGUAAAACCGCCAUUACUAGCAAGAAUCACUUCCGGUUUGCUAUCAGAAGCUCAAAAUGCAGAGCCAGGACACAAUCUGUUUAGCAUUUUUCAAAUUUCCCCCGGACAGAGCCGUGACCCAGCCUGUGUAACACUAUUGAACUUCCUCCAGCCAGCUAACUCCAAUCUUGACAGUGACUGCUUUGUCUCAAAUAUCAGUGAAAACAGAAUAUAAAAUAGACUUUCUUGCUUCCUCAGUUACACUUUUCAAAGUAGAGUGGAUAUGUCUCUUUUUAGCCCGACUUAGCUUUACUGCAGCCAAUCAUAAAACAAAACAAAAACAAUAUCGAAAGGGAGGCUGGGAAUGGGAAAAGUGACAAACAUUCAGGGCAACUUUAACGGUGGUUUCACCUUCUUUAUUUAAUGCGCAGGGUGCGUGGGAAUCUCGAAAACAGGACAGUCAUUACCUUCAGCUCAGCCUUCUCUACUGCCCUACCUACUGGAUGAGAGGCCCCUUUACCUAAUCUUCUGUCCAGUCUGGAGUUCAGCCACCCCCUGUACUGGCCAGCCUGACCCCCUGAAGGCCCACUUCCUGUAUCCCUGACACCCCUCACACAGGCUAGUCACCUUCACAUACUGUCCCCUCCCAGGGAUAAGCACUCAUUCACCAUCACCCUCAUGUCACAUUCCAUCUAAAGGUGUCUCUACUUUCCCAUUUGUCCCCAACUAGGAGGCAUGAUAACCCAAUAGAAAAAGUGUGGACUUUGGUGUAAGAUAGCAGUGAUUUAAAAUCCCAGCUCUGACUCCUGAUUGUCUAACGACUUUCAGUAACUCAUUGAAAAUUGUUAUAACUCCAGUUCAUCUUGUGCAGAAUGGAAAUAAUAGGAUAUACCACAUUGAGUUGUUCUUCAGGUUUAAAACGUUAGCUCAUGUAAGAUACACAGGACAGGCUGGGUACAGUGGCUCACACCUGUCAUCCCAGCACUUUGGGAGGCCGAGGCGGGCAGAUCACCUGAGGUCAAGAGUUGGGGACCAGCCUGGCCAACAGAGCGUAACCUUGACUCUGCUAAAAAUGUAAAAGUUAGCCAGUCAUGGUAGCGGGUGCCUGUAGUCCCAGCUACUCAGAAGGCUAAGGCACAAGAAUUACUUGAAGCUGGAAGGCAGAGGUUGCAAUGAACAAAGAUCGUGACUCCUCUGCACUCCAGCCUAGGACACAGAGAGGAAAUUUGUCUCAAAAACAAAGCAGGUAGGAUGUCCAUUCCAGAGUAUUUGCAUAAAGCAAAACAAAACAAAGAUACACAGGACAAUGGUUAAUACCCGGUAACUUUUCCCACUCUAUUCGCCAUGCCAUCACAAACCAAAAAUAAAAUUCUAAGCCCCCCGCCCAGAUAUCUGAAUGGACUGGAUCCCUCCUGUUAGCCAAGAGCAUUCUGGAGUUAACCCGAAAAUAUAGUUAGACCAUGACGGAAGAGGGGAUCGAACAUGACUCCUUACACCCCUCCAGUAUUAACAACACCACAGAUGUUAAGUCCUAUAAGAAACAGACCUUAAGUCCUACAAGAAACCUUUCUGAUCUGUUUUCUCUGAAGCCUCCUAUCUGGAGGCUUCAUCUGCAUGAUAAAACCUUGGUCUCCACAACCCUUUACAGAAACCUAGACAGUCCUUUUUACUAAUAAGAACUCUUUCAAUCAAUUGUCAAUCAGAAAAUUUUUUAAUUCACCUAUGUCCUGAAAGUCCCCCCUCCAUCCAACCAAUGUAAAUCUUACAUGUAAUGAUUGAUGUAUUAUGUCUCCCUAAAGUGUACAAAAGUGAGCUGUACCCCAACCACCUUGGGCACAUGCUGUCAGACCUCCUGAGGCUGUGUUAGGGGUGUGUCCUUAAUGUUACCAAAAUAAACUUUCUACAUUGACUGGGACCUGUAUCAAUUACUUUGGGGUUCCUGAGGAGUCUACAAAUCAGGCCAGCCUAGAGCAGAGAUGAGAGGAUUCUGGGAGCACACAUCACCUCAUAUGUGAGAUUAGACCCAACCUUUUAUCUCUCCAACUGUCACAGAAACACACAAACACAAGACAUCUUAAAAACCAGUGAGUGGAAUUUGAAAGCCUAGAAGGAAAAAUGUAUUAUAAAGAAAAAAGACACUGAUUUUUGAGGCAUUGGCAAACUGAGCUCCGACUCUGACAAGCUGUGUGACCUCAGGCAACUCACCUGAGCUUUCUGAGCUCCUGUUUUCUCAUCUUUAGAAUGGGGAUAGUCAUGGCUCCAUGCAGAGCAGGCUGUGGGAUUAAAUAAAUGUGUUAAAACAUCAAAAACAAGAUUCACUCCUGGAAAUAAAUAAGUAAGAGUCUGUCAUCUCUGUUUUCUUUUCCAAAAGGGUCAGGGACUAUCAACACAGAGGAGGCGACAUCACAGUCUGCUCCUCAAGCAGAGACAGCGACUCCUGAGCCGUCAGCACAGGAGUGAUCACUUGAGCUAUUCAUUAUAAAUAUUCCACCACAAUGUCAUUUUAAUGCUCCCAAAAGAGCACCUGUUAUCUAUGCCACAAAUUGGAUGCUCUGUGGCAUAAAUCAUCAAGAUGCACUUCCCAGGUGUCUUAAAUGAAGGAACGCCAUUCCAACCAAUAAAGUAAAUAUUAAACAAAACAAAAACAGACAAAGCACAGAAACACCCCAUGCUGUGACUUUAAUAGUUGAUCAAUUGCAGAUCAAGAGCUUUAAUUUCUCCUUAGCUUUGGGUUGACAGCAGGCACCAAGUUCCCAUUCUUUUAGAGAUGAUUACUUUGCUGAAAAACAAACGAUCCAUUCAUCAGACCUUGGCCAACAAAUACGUUAAAACCUGAGACACUCCUAGAGACAUAUCCAGAUAAUGAACAGCACCAUAACAUGACCAAAUGACCCACACACAACAGAAUUGUACGGUGACCAUCAUCCCACCACAUUGCUGUGUUGUGUGACUGACUCUGGUUUCUCUGACGAGAUCAUUAUUUGAAAUUAUAGGACUUGUGUCUUCCAGGAUCCAGCCCCAGCCUAGGUAUCAGGUAAAAGUUUGCUUAAUGAAUUUUCUAGGACAAAAAAGUGGUGAGUAAACCAAUGUCUGCCUCUCCUGCAGGCCUGGGAUCCACCAUUAAUGUUCCUUUGCUGACCAUCAUGUGAAGGUUACAAAUCUCUAAGUCUACCAGGCCCUGCUAAUUACCACUUUCUCUUUGAGGCCUCCCCUAAUAUCCGACAGAAUAACUUGCUGAAGCAGCAUCUCUCUCUGGGGUAAAUACCUGGGGUUCAUCAUCUCAAGCCAUGAAAAUUGAGAACACAGACAUAUGUGGAUGGGCUAAGGAGCCGUAAGUUUAGUAGGUAGAAGAAAGGAGAAAGAAUAGCAGCUCCUGGCUAGAGAGAGGUGUCUAAAAAAGGGAAAGGCGGUAGAUGGCUGCAGAUUUUAUAGGAAAGCUUGGAAAGGCAGUGUCUGAUUUAUCUAGGGCUCACGGAUUGGUUUGACCAAGGGUGACAUUUACAUAGCACGUGAGGAAGAUUGGUCACCCCACACUAAUCUUACUACGAAACUGAGUUUUCCGCUUGGUCAGCACCUUCUUAUUGACUCCUUACUGUACAUGUGGCUGGCAAAAAGAGAAGAUGGAGCCACCAUUUUGAACAUGCCUAGUCCCAGGUAGUCUAUUCCUAUGGGCACAACUGUUGACAUUCACCUGUGCAAGCAUCCAGCUCACUUGUUUAGGUCUGCAGCCCAAUUUUACAGGCUGCUCUUUGUUAGAAAAGAAAAUGAUCUAGGGGCUGCUUUUCAAUAAAAGGAAAACCUUACCAAGGACUUCCGUACCUUCACUAUCGGCCUAAGGAUUUUCUUUUUAACUCCUAUAUCAUUGCUAAUAAUUAUAAUGAUAACAAUAAUAACCUAUAUUACCUCCAGUCCCACCUAGAGCUUUUUCUGGAUCACACCCAUUCCAUCUGACAGCAUCUGUAUCCUCAGCUGUUGAUGAUGGAGACACUGCCACCUUCCAGUGCUGGGAGAGGAUGGGAGUACAUGGAGAUACCACGUCCACUGGAGUCAAACAAACCAGACUGGAACCAUGACUCUGCCAGGCAUGACUUCUUCAAACAUGAACUAUCACCCUCUAUGGAAGAAUAGAGCCAAAGAGAAAAAUCACCACUGAGAACAAUUACUUUUGACUUCAAAGGGCAUCUCAGCGGCCUUCAGAGCAGGAUAUCACUUCACACUGGACAGAAAACAGACGCCCGACAACCUGGUCUGUGGUCACUGGGGGAGGGGGUUACACAAGAGGGCAGACCCCAAACUUCCCCAACAAAGAGAAGCUGUGGGAGGCCCUGUGUGGCCCUAGAGCUGGUGGGAGGCAGAGGUGUUGGUGGUUCCUGGCUCUCCUUGUCUGAGUCUAUGAAUUACAAGCUGCCUGAUCACCACCAACAGUUGGCGCUGAGCUAAGCAAGUGAGCACCCUGGGCCUAGGCUCAAUCAAGUUCAGCUGUUUUCUGUCUGUCUCUACUGGACAAAGUCCUUUCCAUUCACAAGAGCCAGGCAGAAGGAGCGAUAGAUCGAGGAUCAAAAUUGCAAGACAGAACAUUGAAUAGCCCUAACCUCCUCCAGAGUCCUUAUAUUUUUCACCUCUGUCCUCAUUGUUUCUGUCAGGUGUCACUAAUAAAAUCUUGAUGCACACAUUAUCAACAAUAGAGUGAAAUUCAGCAGCUGACAGUCUUGUGAGCCUCUGUGCUGGCAGGAGAAACGGAAGGAGGCUGGGCUGGUACGGGGAAUGUCCUCUAAUGUCUGGCCCUAUGGGAAUGACAUUCACCAAAGGGGUACACGGAGUGGGUUAAAAGGACCUGAGACCUGCAGAAAAGGAAAAACCAGAUGUCCAUCCCUCUCCUCCUGGAGCAUCUUUGCGCCAAUUCUUCAAAUGCCUUCAAUUACUCUCCAACUUUGGGCAACCCGCACUUGGUCACAUGAAGGGAAAUCACUUGAUCAUUGUUAUGGGCUGAAUUGUGUCCUCAAAAUUAAUAGAUUGAAGCUGUAAUCCCCAGGACGUCAGAAGGUGGAUCUUGAAGGCCCUUGGAGAUGGGGGCUUCAAAGAGGUGAUUAAGUCAAACAAAAGUUAUUUGUGUAGGACCAAAUCCAAUCUGACUGGUGUCCUUAUAAGGAGACUAGGACAUAGAUACUCACAGAUCAAGGGUCUACCAUGUAAGGACACAGGGAGAAACCAGCCACCUGCCACCAAGAAGAGAGGCCUCAAAAGAAACCCACCCUGCUGACACCUUGAUCUCACACUUCCAGCCUCCAAGACUGUCAGAGGCAUUUGAAUAGGACCUGGGUAAAAUGAGGCUGAAACCUACUGGGCUGCAUUCCUAGGAGGUUAGGCAUUCUUAGUCACUGGAUGAGCUAGGAAGUCAGCUUAAGAUACAGGUCAGGAAAACCUUGCUGAUAAAAUAGCACGUGGUGAAGAAGCCGGCAAAAUCUCACCAAAACCAAGAUGGCAAUGAAAGUGACUUCUGUCGUCCUCAUUGCUCAUUAUAUGCUAAUUAUAAUGCAUUAGCAUGCUAAAAGACACUCCCACCCGAGUCAUGACAGUUUACAAAUGCCUUGGUAAUGUCAGGAAGUUACCCUCUAUGGUCUAAAAAGGGAGAGGAACCCUCAGGUCUGGGAAUUGCCCACCCUUUUCCUGGAAAACUCAUGAAUAACCCACCCCUCGUUUAGCAUACCGUCAAGAAAUAACCAUAAAAAUAGCCAACCAACAACCCUCGCUGCUUCUCUGCCUAAGAGAUAGCCAUUCUUUUAUUCCUUUGCUUUUUUUCUUUGAGACAAGAGUCUCACUCUGUUGCCAAGGCUGGAGUGUGCAGUGGUGCUAUCUCAGCUCACUGAUACCUCCGUCUCAUGGGUUCAAGCGAUUCUCAUCCCUCAGCCUCCCAAGUAGCUGGGACUACAAGCACCUGCCACCACACCUGGCUAAUUUUUGUAUUUUUAGUAGAGAUGGGGUUUCAUUAUAUUUGUCAGGGUGGUCUCAAAUUUCUGACCUCAGGUGAUCCACCUCCCUUAGCCUCCCAAAGUGCUGGGAUUAUAGGCGUGAUCUACCGCGCCCAGCUUAUUUCUUAAUUUAAUUUCACUUUAUGGACGUGCCCCAAAUUAUUUCUUCUAUGCGAUCCAACAACCCCUUUCCAGUAACAGGACUAUGAGAAAAUACGUCUGUUGUUUAAGCCACUCACUCUACAGUCCUUUGAGAUGGCAGCCUGAGCUGAGUAAGACAGUCUACAGUUACAUCUGACAUAAACAGCUUGAAACAUGGCACACUCAGACUGACAAGCAGUGUGCCAACCUGGAAAGGAGCAAGCCCGCACACGUACACACACAAACACACAUGACAUGUUCACUCACCCCACUGGUGGUUGACAUAAUGGACUAUUUGAGACUUCCAAAUGUCCAGUCCUCUGUUUUGAAAAAAGGAAAUCCUUUUUCAAUAGCUUUGGAUGGUGGGA